rnacentral:tRNA from 1 species
GGAAUGUAGCUUGGUGGUAGCGCCCUUGCCUAGCAUGCCAAGUCCCUGGGUUCGAUUCCCAGCACCG